AUUGAACGCUAGCGGCAUGCUUAACACAUGCAAGUCGUACGGCAGCACAGUGUGGAGUAAUACACAUGGGUGGCUAGUGGCGGACGGGUGAGUAACGCAUAGGAAUCUAAUUCAUUGUGGGGGAUAACCAGGGGAAACUCGGGCUAAUACCGAAUAAUGUUUACGAAGCAAAGAUGGACUCUAUUUAUAAGCUAUCGAUGUGAGAUAAGAAUGCAUUAGUUUAGCUAGUUGGUGGGGUAAAGGCCUACCAAGGCAACGAUCCUUAGCUGGUCUGAGAGAAUGAUCAGCCACACUGGGACUGAGACACGGCACAGACUCCUACGGGAGUCAGCAGUGGGGAAUAUUGGACAAUGGGCGCAAGCCUGAUCCAGCAAAGCCGCGUGUGUGAAGAAGGCCUUCGGGUUGUAAAGCACUUUUAGUGGGGAAGAAAAAGCCAAAGAUAAUGCCUUUGGAAAUUGACGUUACCCACAGAAAAAGCACUGGCAAACUCUGUGCCAGCAGCCGCGGUAA
rnacentral:rRNA from 1 species